rnacentral:tRNA from 1 species
GCCUGGGUGGCUCAGUCGGUUGAGCAUCUGACUUCAGCUCAGGCCAUGAUCUCGCAGUUUGUGGGUUCAAGCCCCGCAUCAGGCU